UGUCCUUGGGGUGCAUGCACUCAGGGCUUU
rnacentral:piRNA from 1 species